UAUUUAUGUAGUAUGCAUAGUAUGCAGACAUUCUUCAUGCAUAAAAUGUGCAGUAUACAGAGUAAGCUGCAUGAAAUGCUGUAUCCCACAAUGCAAGUGCUCAUCUUGACUCUUUAUAUGAUAGAACAUAGUUUUGUGUGAAAUAAUGUAUUAGAUCAAUUCUGGUUCGUUCAUGUAAAUGGUCAAGUCAAAUGCAUUGCAUUGUGGGAUACAAUGUUCCAGUAUGGUUGGUGUAGGAGACUGGCAUACUGUCCACACUAUGCAUACAUACUAGACUAUGCAUGCAUAGAAAUAGUCAGAGAACAUGGUGCAUGAGAAAGUUUAAGGUGGAGAGGAAGCGAGCCGUAUAAUGACUCUUAGUGAAGGGAGGUGGAGGAGACAAAAAACAGAAACAAAGAUUUCUUUUCUUCUCCUUUGUGAAUGUCAGAACAAAAGAAUUACCUGACACUCACCACAAACAAACAUGAAACAAAGCCACGGUGAGCCGCGGGACCCUCAGCAUGAACAACACUGAACAUCUGAAGCCAGCAGAGAAUGAAUGAAGCAGCAGCAUUAUCCCAGCACCCUAAACCCCAUCCCCGUGACCUCAUGACCCCGUGACCCUCAGCUUCUCCACCAACCAGCAGGAAAAGACGUCCAGAAAGAGGAAACAGAGUUCAGUUCUCUGAAACAUCAGCCCUGCAUCCAAGCAACGGCAGGGCAGAGCUGAGAAAUGCAGACGUCUGGGGAUGUAAAGUGCUGACCUUUACCUCCAUCACUGCACACUGUGGAGAAAUGUUACAUGGAGCACUUCUAUUCACCUCUACUGUGAGCAAAAUGAUGAUGACCAGCACAGAAGGCCAUUACAAACUUCUCAGGACUUAAGCACAGAAAGAUAGAACUUGUAGGAACAUUAUGGUUUAUUCAGUUACGAACUUGCCAAAGAAGGUCAAACGGAGCUGAUUUCUGGCCACGUUUGUCUUCAAACACUAUCCUGAAAAGUUCACUCUGUUCCUCAAGCAGUAGGUGUGCUUUUCUAUCUUGACAAGUGUGAUGGUGAAUUACUUCUUUGACGCCUGAAAGCCCAGAGCUGAACCUGGCUGAAACUUCUGUCUGUCUGUCUGGUUAUAAAUAAUAAAUGUUGUUGUUGUUGUUGUUGUUUUCCCUUUUUAUUAUUUUUAAAAAAUAUAUAUUUUUAUUUUAUU
ensembl:lncRNA